rnacentral:rRNA from 1 species
UACGUAGGGUCCGAGCGUUAAUCGGAAUUACUGGGCGUAAAGCGUGCGCAGGCGGUUUUGUAAGCCAGAUGUGAAAGCCCCGGGCUUAACCUGGGAAUGGCAUUUGGGACUGCAAGGCUGGAGUACGGCAGAGGGAGGUGGAAUUCCACGUGUAGCAGUGAAAUGCGUAGAGAUCUGGAGGAACACCGGUGGCGAAGGCGGCAUCCUGGACCAACACUGACGCUGAGUGAGCGAAAGCCAGGGGAGCAAACGGG